ACACAUUUCAAAGAAAAUUUAUUUAUUUAAUUCCACGCAAACGAAGUUGUGGGCGGCAGGUAAGUAGUCCGACAUAAUUAUAGGCUAUUAUAGUAAAAUAUUUUUUAAGAAAUAUGUAGGGCCAUCUCAUCCAUUACCAUCAGCCACCCAACAUUAUAACAUAACACAGACAUCAUCCAGGCGUCACUAGGCUGCUGAGGAAAGAAAAUAGAAUAGUACGUUUUGGAAAAUAAUGAAACAAUUCGUCUCUGUACUAUACGAGUAUACGUAUUAAAAUUAAAAGUCUCGGGGAUCGAACUCAGAUACUUUGCGAACAAUUAGUGCCAAGCCAAAACAUACGCUCGAUCGUACCUCUAAGCUAAACCGAAAAAGUGGCAGAUUAUGAUGUUGACUCCACGGUAGACAUUAUAAGUAAUAUGGGACUGGUCAUCAUUAUCCCAAGAAAAAUCGAAGAAAUACAGGAGAAUCCCAAUUUGUAAUUGCAAUUUGUCUAAAUUCCAAUUUGUAAUAGCACAGCAUGGCCGUGAGCUCCAUUCCCAGUAAAUAAAAAGUUAAAAACCAUGAUUACGCGAAGCAGAAUUUUGACUGCACGAAACAGCGACAUCUACGUGUAAACUUAUCUAAAUGUACGGAUAUUUGUUCAACUUUCAAUUGUAAUUUAUAUAUAAGAUACCUAUUUAUAUUCAAUUGUAAUUUAUUUUUGUUUUUGUACAUAAGGCCGUAGGCCCGACGUGAGGUUGUCAAGACACUUUUCCUAUUGGGUCGUGUUUAAGCUCCAACUUUCCCCCUCUCGUGUGACGCUUCGGGCCUUCAACCCUACGCGGAACUUCGGCCUUCGGCCUUCGCGAGCCUCGACAAUACUUAACUUUGAGUGUAUACCCUAAAAAUCUACCGAUCACUACCUGGUAGGUACAUACCUCUGUACCUGUAUUCUUUUUGUAUGAUGGACUUUUAAAAUUACAGGUGAACCCCAUGUUUCCAACCAACAAGACAAACGAAAGAGACUGCAGGCUACACAAGUACUACUAUUGGAUAUCUAGCAGAACACAAGAAGAGUCUCAAGGCUGCAGGAGUGCACUUAAACAGCGGACGAUUUAUAAAUAGUUACGAAAAGAAGGUACUUAGUUCCAAAAGCUGCAGAACAAUGUUACGGGCUGUGACUCCAAUCUCAGGCGGUUGGUAAAGAACUUGUGCGGUAGUUUUCUAAUAGAAGGCAACUGAACUUUGGGACUAAAACUAAUUAAAAAAUAUUAUACUUUUCUCAGUGAACAUAAUAAAAAUGACCUUGAUCCAGGCAGCCUACGGACUGGGUCAGUUAGUAACUUCUUACCAAUCGCCUCAGGCCUCUCACUAAAGUCCAAGAAGCAGCGAGCAGGAGGGACCGAAAGUCAAUGAGUAAAUUUUUCACUCGACGACUAUUUAAGGCACAUCACACACUACCUGAAUCAGUACCUAAUAGUCAAAUGGCACCUGUCUUUUUGUAUAAUACCGGUUAUUACAUCUAACCGGGGCCCAGGGCACUCUUUGUAGGAAGGCCGGUCAACGGUUGCUAUACCAUCCUAGUAAGCAUUCUUACAGCAGUUUUCCGUUAUACUUAAUAUCUAAUAAUACGUAACCCUUCGUAUGCCUUUGUUAAACAUUUGCUACUGAUUUAAUAACCUACUGAUAUGAAUGAAAAUUGUAAAUUACAGUCCAAAUUGUGUGGUACGUACUACCACGUACACGGGACAAGGCAUACGAAAUUUUAAGAGGAAAUAGGACAGCCGCUUCAAACAAACGUAGUCCCCAUUUUGCUCUCAGGAUAUUGACAUUAUGGAAAAUUAUUUUUACAUAUUUUAAUUUAUACUUAUUAUUCUUAUUAACUAUUAUUACUUAGCUAUGCCUCUACGUAUGACAUUUUUCUCUGCAGCUGACUGGUGGCAGACUCUCCAACGCGUUCGGUCCCUAUAAGCUAUAGCUCAAUAAAUUCAAAAAAUAAAACGAUGCGGCAUGUCUGUGAUUGAUAUGUACCUACUUGACAUCAAAUUGUGUAAAAAUAUUAUAAAUUAUAAAUUGAAAUAGAUGAUUUGUUAUGAAAGGUGAUUUUGCGCCGGUCGACUUUUCAAAUAGUUAUUGUUAACGAUCUUUUGAUAUUUUGUGAAAGGGUAACAGCCCAAAAUGUAAAAAAAAAAACAAAAAGUUCUCCCGUGGCGGGAAUUGAACCCAGGUCACAAGCGAACACUUUGCGUUGGGCCAAGCAUACAUAGAUCUGCUUGCUAGAUUAAGACCAAGAUAACUCUGCAGAGAUUUUCAUAGUAGUCGAUUAACAAAAUAUCUUUAAUAAUGUUAGUUAUAAAUUGAAAUAUAUGUCCAUCUAUCCAGAGAUAAAUCUAUCCUGUCAUCCACUUUUAUUCUAUAAAAAUGAACUACAUUCAUUUAACGUUUUUAGCAAAUCAAGAUAAAACAAUUUAAAACAUUGUUAACGAUCUUCUGAUAUUUUGUGAAACGGAAAAGUAACGGAAAAAAUAAAAAUAAUAAUAAACAAAAAGUUCACCCUAGGUGGGAUUCGAACCCGGGGUCACAAUGCGUGCACACUUUAUGCAACCAUGUUCUAAACCUUAUUACAAAAAGCAUAAAGUCCACCGAUGGAUAGUUAAGAGUAUUGCUGUUUGAACCUAAGCCGGUUUUCUGAAAGGAGAAACUCAGCGCAAAAAGUAAAAAAAAAAAAACGAAAAAGUUGACCGAUGGCGGGAAUAGAACCCAAGUCACAAGCGAACACUUUGUGCUAAGUCAAACAUACCUAAGCUGCUAGCUAGAUUCAGACCAGACAUGCAAGUGUUAUAUUUUAAAUGUCAAACAGCUAUGAAAUUAUGACUUUAAAAUAACACUUUGCAAGUCUUUGCUUUGAAAAACACUGCAGCGUUACCUUGGUCUUACUCUGCCACCCUAGUUAGUAAGCAUGCUAAAAGCAGUUUUCCAGAAUUAUUAGUCGAUUAAUGUCUACAAGGAAAAAUGACAAAUUAUAAUAAUGUAAAAAAAAAACCGCCCAAGUGCAUGUCAGUAUCGCGCACGAAGGGUUCCGUUACUCAAAAACCCUAAAAACGGGAAAAAAUCACGUUUGUUGUAUGGGAGCCCCAUUUAAAUAUUUAUUAUAAUCUGUUUUUAGUAUUUGUUGUUAUAGCGGCAACAGAAAUACAUCAUAUGUGAACAUUUCAACUGCCUAGCUAUCACGGUUCAUGAGGUACAGCCUGGUGACAGACAGACGAACAGACAGUCUCAGAUAACGGUUAAGUAUACUAUUCAGUUAUAUUAGUGUGACAGAGACAUUGGGCGUUUCGUUCGCUACGGAGUGUAAACGAUUUGCAACUUGGCUAAGCACCCAGCUUCCUCGCACAUCUCUGGUGGAAACGCAGCCUAAACCUGUCAUUUUAAGCAUCGCCUUGGUUACAUUGAUUUAGAAAAUACGAUUCUCGACAUUUUUUUUCGGACUAUUCACAGUUAGACUUUUAGUUUCAUUUUUGUACUUCGUUAUUGAUACUUUUAGUCUUUUAAAUUUCUUGACAAUAAUAGGUAUUUAGACAUUUUAGGCGUUAUCCGUUUUCCGUUCCACAUAAUAUCAGGACACUGUUACGUCCGUUACCAAUAUACUUUUUAAGAGGAAAGGUGUCGAAAAAAUAUUAAUCAUUGAAUAUUAUCGGCAAUUCAAGGCAAAUAUUUUUUUUUAUUUUAAAAUAUUGUAAACAAUCUUCUGAUAUUUUGUGAAACGGAAAAGUAACGGAAAAAAAUAAAAAUAAUAAUAAACAAAAAGUUCACCCUAGGUGGGAUUCGAACCCGGGGUCACAAUGCGUGCACACUUUAUGAAACCAUGUUCUAAACCUUAUUACAAAAAGCAUAAGGUCCACCGAUGGAUAGUUAAGAGUAUUGCUGUUUGUACCUAAGCCGGUUUUCUGAAAGGAGAAACUCAGCGCAAAAAGUAAAAAAAAAAAACGAAAAAGUUGACCGAUGGCGGGAAUAGAACCCAAGUCACAAGCGAACACUUUGUGCUAAGUCAAACAUACCUAAGCUGCAAGCUAGAUUCAGACCAGACAUGCAAGUGUUAUAUUUUAAAUGUCAAACAGCUAUGAAAUUAUGACUUUAAAAUAACACUUUGCAAGUCUUUGCUUUGAAAAACACUGCAGCGUUACCUUGGUCUUACUCUGCCACCCUAGUUAGUAAGCAUGCUAAAAGCAGUUUUCCAGAAUUAUUAGUCGAUUAAUGUCUACAAGGAAAAAUGACAAAUUAUAAUAAUGUAAAAAAAAAACCGCCCAAGUGCAUGUCAGUAUCGCGCACGAAGGGUUCCGUUACUCAAAAACCCUAAAAACGGGAAAAAAUCACGUUUGUUGUAUGGGAGCCCCAUUUAAAUAUUUAUUAUAAUCUGUUUUUAGUAUUUGUUGUUAUAGCGGCAACAGAAAUACAUCAUGUGUGAACAUUUCAACUGCCUAGCUAUCACGGUUCAUGAGGUACAGCCUGGUGACAGACAGACGAACAGACAGUCUCAGAUAACGGUUAAGUAUACUAUUCAGUUAUAUUAGUGUGACAGAGACAUUGGGCGUUUCGUUCGCUACGGAGUGUAAACGAUUUGCAACUUGGCUAAGCACCCAGCUUCCUCGCACAUCUCUGGUGGAAACGCAGCCUAAACCUGUCAUUUUAAGCAUCGCCUUGGUUACAUUGAUUUAGAAAAUACGAUUCUCGACAUUUUUUUUCGGACUAUUCACAGUUAGACUUUUAGUUUCAUUUUUGUACUUCGUUAUUGAUACUUUUAGUCUUUUAAAUUUCUUGACAAUAAUAGGUAUUUAGACAUUUUAGGCGUUAUCCGUUUUCCGUUCCACAUAAUAUCAGGACACUGUUACGUCCGUUACCAAUAUACUUUUUAAGAGGAAAGGUCUCGAAAAAAUAUUAAUCAUUGAAUAUUAUCGGCAAUUCAAGGCAAAUAUUUUUUUUUAUUUUAAAAUAUUGUAAACAAUCUUCUGAUAUUUUGUGAAACGGAAAAGUAACGGAAAAAAAUAAAAAUAAUAAUAAACAAAAAGUUCACCCUAGGUGGGAUUCGAACCCGGGGUCACAAUGCGUGCACACUUUAUGAAACCAUGUUCUAAACCUUAUUACAAAAAGCAUAAGGUCCACCGAUGGAUAGUUAAGAGUAUUGCUGUUUCUACCUAAGCCGGUUGUCUGAAAGGAAAAAUUCAGCGCAAAAAGUAAAAAAAAAAGGAAAAAAUUCACCGAUGGCGGGAAUAGAACCCAAGUCACAAGCGAAUACUUUGUGCUAAGUCAAACAUACCUAAGCUGCUAGCUAGAUUCAGACCAGACAUGCAAGUGUUAUAUUUUAAAUGUCAAACAGCUAUGACAUUAUGACUUUAAAAUAACACUUUGCAAGUCUUUGCUUUGAAAAACACUGCAACUAACGUUACCUUGGUCUUACUCUGCCACCCUAGUUAGUAAGCAUGCUAAAAGCAGUUUUUCCGGAAUUAUUAGUCGAUUAAUGUCUAUAAGGAAAAAUUACGAAUUAUAAUAAUGUAAAAAAAAACCGCCCAAGUGCAUGUCAGUAUCGCGCACGAAGGGUUCCGUUACUCAAAAAACGGGAAAAAACACGUUUGUUGUAUGGGAGCCCCAUUUAAAUAUUUAUUAUAAUCUGUUUUUAGUAUUUGUUGUUAUAGCGGCAACAGAAAUACAUCAUGUGUGAAAAUUUCAACUGCCUAGCUAUCACGGUUCAUGAGGUACAGCCUGGUGACAGACAGACGAACAGACAGUCUCAGAUAACGCGGUUAAGUAUACUAUUCAGUUAUAUUAGUGUGACAGAGACAUUGGGCGUUUCGUUCGCUACGGAGUGUAAACGAUUUGCAACUUGGCUAAGCACCCAGCUUCCUCGCACACCUCUGGUGGAAACGCAGCCUAAACCUGAGAUGUUAAGACAUCGCAUUGGUUACAUUGAUUUAGAAAAUACAAUUCUCGACAUUUUUUUUCGGACUAUUCACAGUUAGACUUAGUUUCAUUUUUGUACUUCGUUAUUGAUACUUUUAGUCUUUAAAAUUUUUUGGCAAUAAUAGGUAUUUAGACAUUUUAGACGUUAUUAUUUUUAGUCAUUUUUCCUUACGACAAUAGUCGCCUAAUUCGUUUUCCGUUCCACAUAUUAAUAUCAGGACACUGUUAUGUCCGUUACCAAUAUAUUUUUUAAGAGGAAAGGUGACGAAAAAAUAUUAAGCCUUGAAUAUUAUCGGCAAUACAAGGCAAUUUUUUUUUUAAUUUUAAAAUAUUGUUAACAAUCUUCUGAUAUUUUGUGAAACGGAAAAGUAACGGAAAAAAAUAAAAAUAUAAAUAAACAAAAAGUUCGCCCUAGGUGGGAUUCGAACCCGGGGUCACAAUGCGUGCACACUUUAUGCAACCAUGUUCUAAACCUUAUUACAAAAAGAAUAAGGUCCACCGAUGGAUAGUUAAGAGUAUUGCUGUUUGUACCUAAGCCAAUACUGCUACCGGCUGUGGUGCCGGUAGACAGGUAGAAUAACGUUUUUCGAUUUUGUGAUGUUGGCUGUAGUAGACCCUCAGAUAUCAUUCGCGCGCCAAAAGUCUAGCUGUAAAUUACAUUACGACUGUUACGAGUAAUAAAAGCCCGAUAUAAGUCGGUCAUAAAAUAAAAAAAUAAAUUGUUUAUUUCCGAAAAAUAUUUCUUGGAUACAGUAUAACAAAGCAUACUAAAGCUACUUAUUGUGUACCUACUUAACUGACGGAAGGGGCGCAGCUAUACGUUAUAGUUAUCGACAGUGAUAUCAGCAUUUCACUUCUACUCUACGUAUUGUUUACGUAUUAAGCGUCGGGCGAUACGUAUUAAUUAUGUGAAACUAGACGAGUUUAUUUUCGAAUAGAGAUUGAAAUAAAUCUAAUUAUUUUACUACAAAUAGGUGUACCUAAGUAUAGUAUGUCAAAGGACUUAAUAUAUAUUAACAUGAAAGGUAUUGAAAUCUGUAAUUUUAUAGUUUGGUAAACAAGUAAUUGUCAGUAAAAAACUGUUACGAAAAAGAGAGUACUGAGCUAUAACCGCGAAAAUAAAAAGUUCGCAAAUGGCGGGGAUCUUUCUCUUUUACUCCAAUGAAGGCAUAUAAUUUUUCAUUGCAGUAAAAGCGAAAGAUCCCCGCAAUUUGCGAAUUUCGGUUUUUGCGAUAGCCUCUCUGUUCUUUCUGCUUAAAAUGCUCCACUGAAAAACGACUCUUCCCAAACUAUAGAUUAAGUACAGGUAAGUAGUUUACCUAGUUUAUUUAAAAUUAGCAAAUACCUAAGUUAACAAUGUAACGUUAUGUCUGGUAUGGUCUGGCAAACCAAAUUUGUUAGAAGAAAAGGCAGCAAAUUGAAAAAAAAUUGGCGGGAAAAUUCUAUCUCCCAUAUGAAAUUUGAAUUUCGCAACUAAAUGCUUGGUUUGCCAGGCGAUAUUAGAUAUGUACCUGUAUUUGGAUACAUGUGGCCACUACAUGUGUAUAAGUGGGUGAAUCAACUUGUUUUACCACUUAUUGCCAUAGUUAUGGUUUUCUGAACUACAAAACAAUGGGUACUCAUCCCUUUCUUUUGGGUGCUAGUAUCAGCGUAACACUACAAAGACUCUUUCUGAAAGAUUAUUUGUCUAAAGUGUAAUUCUAUGGAACUUGCUAACUACUUAUGUAAACAAAAGUCACAAGUAAGUUCAUCAUUC